GACGAACCACACAAACGUUAUUCGGAAUUACUGGGCUUAAAGGGUGCGUAGGCGGCGCGGCAAGUUGGGUGUGAAAUCCCUCGGCUCAACCGAGGAACUGCGCCCAAAACUACCGUGCUUGAGGGAGAUAGAGGCGAGCGGAACUUAGGGUGGAGCGGUGAAAUGCGUUGAUAUCCUAAGGAACACCCGUGGCGAAAGCGGCUCACUGGGUCUCUUCUGACGCUGAGGCACGAAAGCUAGGGUAGCGAACGGG
rnacentral:rRNA from 1 species